rnacentral:rRNA from 1 species
UACGAAGGGGGCUAGCGUUGCUCGGAAUCACUGGGCGUAAAGCGCACGUAGGCGGAUUGCUAAGUCAGGGGUGAAAUCCUGGAGCUCAACUCCAGAACUGCCUUUGAUACUGGCGACCUUGAGUCCGGGAGAGGUGAGUGGAACUGCGAGUGUAGAGGUGAAAUUCGUAGAUAUCGUAAGGAAGACCAGUGGCGAAGGCGGGUCUCUGGACAGUUCCUGACGCUGAGGCACGAAGGCCAGGGGAGCAAACGGG